AGAUAAAGCAGCACAGGCUUCUACAAUGGAAUGGAAUUGUACACAGUUCCUGCCUCCUAAAAAGGCGUGGUCAGAAUGCGCUGACGCUACCUCGUUGAUGAAAACGUCAAAGAUUUUUCAUUUUCGCGCCUCUCUCUUGCUGUGACCAACUGGAGCUGGCCUGGGUGACUGAAUUUGGUACAUCGUCCUGGCAAGAUGCGGUCUGAUUUCCAGUUGUUGGACGAGCAGAAGGACGCUAUGGAUGCAACCUGAAGGUCCAAGACUCAAUCCACUGAAGGCUCUCCGUAAGAUGGUGGAUCUGAUGUCUGCUUUGUGGUCCUAUAGGACGACGCCAUGGAUUGGGGUCAGAGAUGCGCCUGAGAAGUGCUGUAAAUGCUGGCCAUAUGACUUCAACCUUCAUCCAACCAAACGAAGAGAUCCUGCUUUCCUACACUCCAUUCAGGAUGUUAGUUAAUUC